AUUGAACGCUGGCGGCAGGCCUAACACAUGCAAGUCGAGCGGAUGAAGGGAGCUUGCUCCUGGAUUCAGCGGCGGACGGGUGAGUAAUGCCUAGGAAUCUGCCUGGUAGUGGGGGAUAACGUCCGGAAACGGGCGCUAAUACCGCAUACGUCCUGAGGGAGAAAGUGGGGGAUCUUCGGACCUCACGCUAUCCGAUGAGCCUAGGUCGGAUUAGCUAGUUGGUGGGGUAAAGGCCUACCAAGGCGACGAUCCGUAACUGGUCUGAGAGGAUGAUCAGUCAACCGGGCAGUGAGACAGAUCCCAGACUCCUAGAGGAGGCAGCGGUGGGGAAUAUUGGAGAAUGGGGGAAUGCCUGAUCCAGCCAUACCGGGGGUGUGAAGAAGGACUUCUGAUUGUAAAGCACUUUAAGUUGGAAGGAUGGACAGUAAGUUAAUACCUGACGGUUCUGACGGUACCGACAGAAUAAGCACCGGCUAACUUCGUG
rnacentral:rRNA from 1 species